CUUCAACGAGCCCAGCCACAAAGGCCGGUCGCCGUCCCGUCCCUGCCCGUACGUGGCGAGGAGCGCCUGCGCCUC
rfam:Streptomyces agglomeratus strain 6-3-2 1, whole genome shotgun sequence.